rnacentral:rRNA from 1 species
GCCCGCUCAGAACUACAAAGGAAUUGAGGGGGCCCCGCACAAGCGGUGGAGCAUGUGGUUUAAUUCGAUGAUACGCGAGGAACCUUACCUGGGCUCAAAUGUAUGUUGACGUAUUUCUGAAAGGGAUACUUCUUCGGACAAUAUACAAGGUGCUGCAUGGUUGUCGUCAGCUCGUGCCGUGAGGUGUCGGGUUAAGUCCCAUAACGAGCGCAACCCCUACCUUUAGUUGCCAUCAGGUAAUGCUGGGGACUCUAAAGGAACUGCCUACGCAAGUAGUGAGGAAGGCGGGGAUGACGUCAAAUCAGCACGGCCCUUACGUCCAGGGCUACACACGUGCUACAAUGGCCGAUACAGAGGGCAGCUACCUGGUGACAGGAUGCAAAUCUCCAAAGUCGGUCUCAGUUCGGAUCGGAGUCUGCAACCCGACUCCGUGAAGUUGGAUUCGCUAGUAAUCGCGCAUCAGCCAUGGCGCGGUGAAUACGUUCCCGGGCCUU